AAAUUCUUGUGCUGUCUACAAAAAUAAAUCGAAAUAUUUACGGGAAAUAUAGAAAAAUUAUCUCAUGAAUGUGUACAACUGCACGUCUGUGCGUUUUAUUUUCUUUUUGUCGGAUGGUUAUUAGAUAUAGCAUUAGUCAUCGGCGCGCUUACGAUUACGUUAAAAUAUAAUUAAAAACCAAGACUUUUAAUGAUUGUAUUUUAAAUCCCGG
rnacentral:lncRNA from 1 species